rnacentral:tRNA from 1 species
CGGGGGAAGCUUCCUAUACGGUUCGGGACCGUGAGGCCCCGGGUUCGAAUCCCGGGCCCCCGACCA